UACGGGGGGAGCAAGCGUUGUUCGGAUUUACUGGGCGUAAAGGGCGCGUAGGCGGUCAGCACAAGUCAGUUGUGAAAUCUCCGGGCUUAACUCGGAAAGGUCAACUGAUACUGUGCGACUAGAGUGCGGAAGGGGCAACUGGAAUUCUCGGUGUAGCGGUGAAAUGCGUAGAUAUCGUAAGGAAGACCAGUGGCGAAGGCGGGUCUCUGGACAGUUCCUGACGCUGAGGCACGAAGGUCAGGGGAGCAAACGGG
rnacentral:rRNA from 2 species